rnacentral:rRNA from 1 species
GACGAACGCUGGCGGCGUGCCUAAUACAUGCAAGUAGAACGCUGAAGGAGGAGCUUGCUUCUCUGGAUGAGUUGCGAACGGGUGAGUGACGCGUAGGUAACCUGCCUGGUAGCGGGGGAUAACUAUUGGAAACGAUAGCUAAUACCGCAUAAUAGUAGAUGUUGCAUGACAUUUGCUUAAAAGGUGCAAUUGCAUCACUACCAGAUGGACCUGCGUUGUAUUAGCUAGUUGGUGAGGUAACGGCUCACCAAGGCGACGAUACAUAGCCGACCUGAGAGGGUGAUCGGCCACACUGGGACUGAGACACGGCCCAGACUCCUACGGGAGGCAGCAGUAGGGAAUCUUCGGCAAUGGACGGAAGUCUGACCGAGCAACGCCGCGUGAGUGAAGAAGGUUUUCGGAUCGUAAAGCUCUGUUGUAAGAGAAGAACGAGUGUGAGAGUGGAAAGUUCACACUGUGACGGUAGCUUACCAGAAAGGGACGGCUAACUACGUG